UUGUAUCUCUUUUGAUUUUUUUUGUGCAAAUUGUUGCCUUUUUAAAUAUUUAAGAAUCUCAAUUGUAAAGAUUAUCUUCCAAAUAGAAGAGAGGAGUAACUCACUCUCUUAUAUAGGGAGAAAUAAUUUACAAAGCAAAUCCGGUAUUUUCUAAUAAGAAUUAAUAGCCUAAUUUAUAAACAAUAAUGAAUCUCGUAUUUCAGAUUACAGACAAUCUUCCAUCAAUUUCUUUUUAUUCCAUUAUUCUUUCCAGCAAGAUUGCCUAGGUGACGCAGUCGAAGGAGCAAGAAAGCCUUAAACAUCAGGGGCUUCAAGACAAGGACUGGAGCAAGUCGGCUACAGCUUAAAGAAGAAGAUAGGAGCAGGGUUGUGUUCAACUUGGCGAUGCACGGCACUCAACAUGAUUCUCAAUGAAAUCGAAAUGUUUUUUUUAAGAUUGAACCGCAACGGGUGUCGAGAUCUAUACCAACAUCUCAUCCUCAAUGAUAAUUUUCACAUCUUCCUAAAUUAUUAGUCUUCAUGCAUUCCUUUACUUGAUGUAAAUUUGAUUUUCUUUAGACUUUAUCACAUUUACUUUAUUCCCAGUGUUUUUUUGUAUGGCAGGUUAAAUUCCUUCUAUAUAAACAGUUGUAUGACUUCUUCAUAUUUUGAGACAGUUAAUAUAAUUUAUUAUUGUUUCAUAUGUUCCGAUUCUCCAAUCACACAUGACUAUCAAAUCAAAUCCAAAUAAUUCCCCAGUAGACUAUUAAUUUUAUUGCAUGCAAGAAUUUCCUAGUUGACAGAAACUCCAGUUAUGUUACUGUGCAAAUUGCAUUGGGAGUUUGCACUUCUUGUGCUUAAAAUACAGUGAGAUGCUUUUUUACUAUUACGUUUUGAUUGAAUGUUGAAAUCAAGGAUCUAUUCCCACGUGUUCUACAUGACAAUGGCCAAGAUUUUUACCUCAAUUGGUCUUUGAUCGUGAACAACAGUUUUUGUGCAUGCAUCUUCACAUUUGGCUUCAUUUGGAACAGCUUUUUUACUGUUUUUUAAAAUAGCUUUUUAUUACAGAUUUUUUUUUAAAAUUUUUUGCACUGAAAAUUUGUUUUAUAAAGCAAUAUGAAAACUAUUCCAAACGAUGCCUUAGUUAUAUCCAAUAAUAAACUACCAUACAUUUGUCGAUUUUGUUAUGGUUUUGGAUUAUAUAUGAUCAAGACAUUUGAGACUUCUAGCACAGUGCAUCAUCAAUGUCCAAAAAUGUGUAACCCCAACUAAAUGGCUUUGAAAUGAUUGCCGCAGCUUAUUAAACAAGCCAAUAUCUAAGGUAGUGGUCGAUGAUCUGAAGCUACCAUGUUGGAAGAUGAUCCAAAUAGUAGAGAAGCAAGAAAGAAGUGAUGAACAAGCUAGUAAAGCUAAAUUUACUCUCAAAGUUAUUGGGAAUUGAAGCACUUUGUAUAAAUUAAAAAGAUCCCCAAAAAGGCAUAAUAGUUAAUCAUGGUUCUCCAUAGUAGAACCAACAAGGCGUUAAUAAAAUUUUGGAAAAUGAGGAUGCAUCAACGAAGCAUGAUAAAAUGCACUUAGUUUUUUUUAUGAAGUAAGAAUAUUGUUUGAUGAGAAUAGUAUUCUUGAUCCAAAUUCUUAAUAACAAGAAAAUAAGCAACAUAGAAUUUUGCUUCAUGCUUUGAUGAAAAAUAUCAUGCUCAUAAAACAGCUUUGUCUAAUUGGCUAAACAAUCAAUUGAUUCAUUAGAGAAUUAACUUGCUAAUUAAUAAGCCUUAAAUUUUCAAAUGGGUAAUUUCACCACUUCAACAUCUAAAGAAGAAUCCAAGAUUUCUAUGAAUAAAAAAAAAAAAAAAAAUUUUCUAAGAUAGAAAUCAUGGAUCAUAAAAUGAUAGAGGUCAUGGUCAUAGGAGAGAGUUCAAGUUAAAUGAAAAUAGUUAUAGAUGUAGAAAUUUUGGUCAUAGAAUACAUGAUUAUAAAUUCAAACUAAAGCAACCAUAUUUCGCAUGGUGUACAGAUCAUGUAGGAGAUGACAAUGGUAGCUGGGUUCUUCCCUCUCAUGCAGUCAUAUUAAAUUUUUUGUAAUGAUCUCCAAAUAAGUGGAAAAUUUAUCAGCAUUUAUUAAUCAUCACGUUGGUCAUGAGGAAUGUUGUGAUUAUUUGCAUACUUAUUUUGAUUCUUAUGUGAUUUCUAAUAUUGAAGAUUAUCUUUUCCUUGUCAAAAGUACUGAAUGCCUAUUUAUUUCUACAUCUACAAGCUCAUUAUGUGUUAAUAAUAUUAUUAUGUUCCUGUAAUGAAGUAGAAUUUGAUUCUUAUUUUUAAAAUAAUCAUAAUGAAUAUUUAUUGUGUUUUGAACCUAAUAAAGAAGGAACUUUGUCAAUGCCAAUGUUUCUAGUAAGCUUAUCUGAGGGAAGGAAAAUGAAUAAGGAUUUUAUUAUGCUGGCACAGAGUUCUUAUAUUGAUAGAAUUCUUAGGUGUGACUAAGGUAAUUCAUGGCAUGCUAAAUUUGCAAAUGUGAAUCAUAACACGCUAGGAGAGAG